UAACCACUCGUCAGGCGCUGAAAAAAGAAGAUGCAGUAAGUUUGAUUUUUUCUGUGUAAAGUUAUAUAUAUUUAUGAUAUAUAAAUAUGCAGGAUAGUUUUCGUAUGCAAAACUUUGAUUGGUGUUAAGUCGAAAUAAGGUUCGUGUAAUGGAAAUUGCACGGGGAGUAU
rnacentral:rRNA from 1 species